rnacentral:lncRNA from 1 species
AUUCAACAACCAAAAUAUCUCUUGGUAGUGUAAUCUAAAUCUGUUGAAAAUGAUUAUCAUCGGCUUUAUAAUGACCAUUGGUUAUUGAUGGGAACCUGAAAUUUAGAAACAUAAUUUAUAAAAUAGAAAUAGAUCAAACAAUGGAAAAUAUAAUAUAUUGAAUAGAUAAUAAACAAGGAAACUAGAGGAAGGAAAUAAUCCCAAUCCCCCCAAACCAAAAGCUCCCUUGAAAAGAAAACACUCUCUUACCACAUUCUUAAUUACAGUACAUCCACAACCCUCACUCGGAGGAAGAGCCACAACUUAGAGAGAUAUACACUAAGGUUUUUUAAGGUUUCCUACACCAACUUUUUCCACUUGAGUGCUAAUUGAGAAAUAGUCUUUGUAGAAGAUCCUUC